AGACCCGAAACCCGGUGAUCUAGCCAUGGGCAGGUUGAAGGUUGGGUAACACUAACUGGAGGACCGAACCGACUAAUGUUGAAAAAUUAGCGGAUGACCUGUGGCUGGGGGUGAAAGGCCAAUCAAACCGGGAGAUAGCUGGUUCUCCCCGAAAGCUAUUUAGGUAGCGCCUCGUGAAUUCAUCUCCGGGGGUAGAGCACUGUUUCGGCUAGGGGGCCAUCCCGGCUUACCAACCCGAUGCAAACUGCGAAUACCGGAGAAUGUUAUCACGGGAGACACACGGCGGGUGCUAACGUCCGUCGUGAAGAGGGAAACAACCCAGACCGCCAGCUAAGGUCCCAAAGUCAUGGUUAAGUGGGAAACGAUGUGGGAAGGCCCAGACAGCCAGGAUGUUGGCUUAGAAGCAGCCAUCAUUUAAAGAAAGCGUAAUAGCUCACUGGUCGAGUCGGCCUGCGCGGAAGAUGUAACGGGGCUAAACCAUGCACCGAAGCUGCGGCAGCGACGCUGAUGCGUUGUUGGGUAGGGGAGCGUUCUGUAAGCCUGCGAAGGUGUGCUGUGAGGCAUGCUGGAGGUAUCAGAAGUGCGAAUGCUGACAUAAGUAACG
rnacentral:rRNA from 1 species